rnacentral:tRNA from 1 species
AGUAACGUGGCUGAAGUGGAAAUAGUACCUGGCUCAUAUCUAGGAAUAUAGGAGUUCGAACCUCCUCGUUACUACCA